CGUUAAAUUAGCAAUAGUAAAUAAAGGAAGUCAUAUUUGUUAAAUACUAACUUCACUCUUUUCAUUAAAUUUUCAACUCUUGGAUGGCAGUUCAUAUAUUCAGUUUGACUCUGCCUUCCAAAAAAUUUAUUUGACUUCUUAGCUUCCACCAGCUAACAUAAGGUAUUAAUUAUGUGUACGAUGCUAAAGAGAAAGUCAAUAUGUAUUGGAGAAGUACAUCCAAAAAUAUCUACUUACAAAAAAAUGUAUAAGAAUAGCAUCAAAUUUACAAAGAAUAUUUGUUUUGUAAGGACUAAUGUUUUUACUUUAUGGAACAUUUACUACAAAAAGAAUAAAAAAGAGUUAUGAAUAUGUAUGAAGAUCAAAGUUAAAUUCAAUAAAAAGUAUAUACAUUAUUGAAGUGAUAGGAAAUAAUGACAAUUUUUAAUUCUGAGAAAUAAACAUUCACAUCUUUGAAAUUCAUAAAUUAUAUAUAUUUUUCACGCAAUAUGAUUUUAUUUUACAGUAGAAGACAGAUUAAAGAAGUGCAAAAAUAUAUGUAUCUAAGGGUCCCCUUCAGACAUGAAUCUGGGGCCUGAACCAUACAGAGGCACUGGAAGAAAUGCAAACAGACUUCCUGAAAAGACUAAUGAGCGCAGCCAGAUAUAUUCCAGGGUACAUAGUGAGAGCGCAAUCAGGGGCAAUAAAAUUAGAGAUAGAGAUAAUCAAGAGAGCAAUAAAAUACUGGAACACACUGGAAAGCUUGAACGAUAAAAUAUUUCUAAAAAUAUGCUGGGAAAGACUAUAAACUAUGAAUAAGAAAAUCUCAAUUUUAAGAGAAAUUGGGCCACACAACUAAAGACCAAACUCCAGGAGUUUUUUAUCGAUAUCAAUAAUAUGCCCUAUACAUUAGAGGGAGAGAACACACUAACCAAUAUUUUAAUACAAAUAUACAUAAAAUUGGCGAAAAAGAUAAUCACAGAAUCAGCAACUCAAGCUAUGGUGAAAUUUACAAAGAAAUAAAAAAUAAAACAAUACUACAAGAGCUAUAAGAACUAGCUAAGCUGUUAUACCCUUUACCCAAACAAAAUAAUACAUAAUCGCACAAAGUAGAUUAACAGAUAAAAUCACAUGGAAGUUGACAACAUAGUCAGAGUCUAAUCAUACAAAAAAUGUGAACCAGAAAUGCCUUAUCUGUCACAUACAAGAACUAGAGAACAGGAGACAUAUUCUGAUAGCCUGUCCUAUUUGGAAGGUUAUUCAACCACCUUUGCUACAAAAUAGCGACUUCAAAGAGUUGCUAUCAAUACAUAGCGCAAAGCAGAUAUGGGAGCUAGCAAACUUUCUAAAAGCUAGCAUGAAGUUGAGAGCCUUUUGCAUGGGAGAGUAAACCAAGGAACCAAUAAAGCACAGUGCUCUAGUUACACUAUUAGAAAUAAUUCAAAAUAAUUCUAAUUACAUGCAAUACCACUAUAUACCAAAGAUUUUAAUAGAUCUAAGGAGUCAAAAUAAUAAAUAAAACUUAAUUUAGCCUAA